GUUUGAUUCUGGCUCAGAAUCAACGCUGGCGGCGUGCGUAACACAUGCAAGUCGAACGGGAAAACGGGGGCAACUCCGUGAGUAUAGUGGCAGACGGGUGAGUAACACGUGAACAAUUUACCCUUGAGAGGGGAAUAGCCGCGCGAAAGCGGGGCUAAUACCGCAUAACAUCCCUUGGUCGCAUGGCUUGGGGAUCAAAGGCUUCGGUCGCUCAAGGAGGAGUUCGCGGCUGAUUAGCUAGUUGGUGAGGUAACGGCCCACCAAGGCGACGAUCAGUAGCCGGCCUGAGAGGGCGUACGGCCACACUGGAACUGAGACACGGUCCAGACUCCUACGGGAGGCAGCAGUGGGGAAUUUUGCGCAAUGGGCGAAAGCCUGACGCAGCAACGCCGCGUGGAGGAUGAAGGCCUUCGGGUCGUAAACUCCUGUCAGGGGGGACGAAACGCCCGGUAACGGGCAUUGACUGUACCCUCUGAGGAAGCCACGGCUAACUCCGUGCCAGCAGCCGCGGUAAUACGGAGGUGGCAAGCGUUGUUCGGAAUUACUGGGCGUAAAGGGCGCGUAGGCGGCAAGGCAAGUCAGGUGUGAAAGCCCCGGGCUUAACUCGGGAAUUGCAUCUGAAACUGCUGUGCUUGAGUUCUGGAGGGGGUAGUGGAAUUCCCAGUGUAGCGGUGAAAUGCGUAAAUAUUGGGAGGAACACCUGCGGCGAAGGCGGCUACCUGGACAGAAACUGACGCUGAGGCGCGAAAGCUAGGGGAGCGAACGGGAUUAGAUACCCCGGUAGUCCUAGCUGUAAACGAUGGUACUUGGUGUUGGGGGUAUUGAGUCCCUCGGUGCCGGAGUUAACACGUUAAGUGCCCCGCCUGGGGAGUACGGUCGCAAGACUGAAACUCAAAGGAAUUGACGGGGGCCCGCACAAGCGGUGGAGCAUGUGGUUCAAUUCGACGCAACGCGAAGAACCUUACCGGGGCUCGAACGGUAACUGCGACCUGUGGAAACACAGGGUUCUCUUCGGAGACGGUUACCGAGGUGCUGCAUGGCUGUCGUCAGCUCGUGUCGUGAGAUGUUGGGUUAAGUCCCGCAACGAGCGCAACCCUUGCCCUUAGUUGCUAACAGGUUAAGCUGAGCACCCUAGGGGAACUGUCGGCGAAAAGCCGGAGGAAGGUGGGGAUGACGUCAAGUCCUCAUGGCCCUUACGUCCCGGGCUACACACGUGCUACAAUGGUCGGUACAAAGGGUCGCCAACCCGCGAGGGGGAGCUAAUCUCAAAAAACCGAUCUCAGUUCGGAUUGCAGUCUGCAACUCGACUGCAUGAAGGCGGAAUCGCUAGUAAUCGCAGAUCAGCAUGCUGCGGUGAAUACGUUCCCGGGCCUUGUACACACCGCCCGUCACAUCACGAAAGUGGGUUGUACUAGAAAUCGCCAGGCUGACCUCGCAAGAGGGGGCAGGUGCUUAAGGUAUGAUCCAUGAUUGGGGUGAAGUCGUAACAAGGUAACC
rnacentral:rRNA from 1 species